rnacentral:rRNA from 1 species
CCUACGGGAGGCAGCAGUGGGGAAUUUUGGACAAUGGGCGAAAGCCUGAUCCAGCAAUGCCGCGUGAGUGAAGAAGGCCUUCGGGUUGUAAAGCUCUUUUGUCAGGGAAGAAACGGUGAGAGCUAAUAUCUCUUGCUAAUGACGGUACCUGAAGAAUAAGCACCGGCUAACUACGUGCCAGCAGCCGCGGUAAUACGUAGGGUGCAAGCGUUAAUCGGAAUUACUGGGCGUAAAGCGUGCGCAGGCGGUUUUGUAAGUCUGUCGUGAAAUCCCCGGGCUCAACCUGGGAAUUGCGAUGGAGACUGCAAGGCUAGAAUCUGGCAGAGGGGGGUAGAAUUCCACGUGUAGCAGUGAAAUGCGUAGAGAUGUGGAGGAACACCGAUGGCGAAGGCAGCCCCCUGGGUCAAGAUUGACGCUCAUGCACGAAAGCGUGGGGAGCAAACAGGAUUAGAUACCCUGGUAGUCCACGCCCUAAACGAUGUCUACUAGUUGUCGGGUUUUAAUUAACUUGGUAACGCAGCUAACGCGUGAAGUAGACCGCCUGGGGAGUAACGGUCGCAAGAUUAAAACUUCAAAGGAAUUGACGGCUGAGACGNGCGAGACGACGACGAGGAGGAGG